UACUGAUAUAACCCCAGCGACUGCAUCACCGAUUUAUGGCACAACUUGAAAGUGCUGGUAAACUUUUCAUUUCUAGGUUAGGUGAGAGAAGAAAGUGGAUCCUACGUGUUUGGUGUAGGUGUGUGCUGUAGGUGUGUGGCUGAACUGAAGUUAAAGGCAGGAACUGAAGUAGAAGAAGGGCCACCCAUUAGAAUCUGCCCGUCGACGAUAUCGAUGAUCCCAGGCCACAACAGCCCAUAAUUUUCACGAUCUUGAGAGUUUCCAAAAAGCUCAGCUGCUCAAUAAGCUACGACAGACAUGGAUAGCUGAAAAGAAUUCAGCAACUAAUGGUGAAGAACGCGAGCCACCAGCUCAGACGAGACGAAGAUGUGAGUUUGUUUUGAACAACAAAUUCCCGUUGUGGAACGAACACAGUCAAGUUUAUCAGUUGGACUUUGGAGGGAGAGUGACCCAAGACUCUGCGAAAAAUUUUCAGAUUGAAUUCAAAGGAAAACAGGUUAUGCAGUUUAGCAGAAUCGAUGGGAAUGCCUACACGUUAGAUUUUCAGUAUCCUUUCUCAGCUGUCCAGGCUUUUGCUGUGGCAUUGGUGAUUCAACGAUUGAAAUAAAAAUGGAAUUUGGAUAAAUCUGUCCAGAGAUGGUCAAUGUGACAUUAAA